AUUGAACGCUGGCGGCAUGCUUUACACAUGCAAGUCGAACGGCAGCGCGGGCUUCGGCCUGGCGGCGAGUGGCGAACGGGUGAGUGAUGCAUCGGAACGUGCCCAGCUGUGGUGGAUAGCCCGGCGAAAGCCGGAUUAAUACCGCAUAAGACCUGAGGGUGAAAGCGGGGGACCGAAAGGCCUCGCGCUCUUGGAGCGGCCGAUGUCGGAUUAGCUAGUUGGUGGGGUAAAGGCUUACCAAGGCGACGAUCCGUAGCUGGUCUGAGAGGACGACCAGCCACACUGGAACUGAGACACGGCCCAGACUCCUACGGGAGGCAGCAGUGGGGAAUUUUGGACAAUGGGGGCAACCCUGAUCCAGCCAUGCCGCGUGCGGGAAGAAGGCCUUCGGGUUGUAAAGCGCUUUUGUUCGGGAAGAAAUCCUCUGGGCUAAUACCCCGGGGGGAUGACGGUACCGGAAGAAUAAGCACCGGCUAACUACGUG
rnacentral:rRNA from 1 species